rnacentral:ncRNA from 1 species
GCAGAGUAGGUUUCGGAGCGUUUGAGCGCGCGGUUUUCCGCCGCUUGCCAGUGCCCGCCGGACAGGGAGUUGUCGGCGGGACGAAAAGACUAUCUUGCGGUUCCGGAAUCGCAUCCCGCUGC